CGCGGCCUAUCAGCUUGUUGGUGGGGUAAUGGCCUACCAAGGCGACGACGGGUAGCCGGCCUGAGAGGGCGACCGGCCACACUGGGACUGAGACACGGCCCAGACUCCUACGGGAGGCAGCAGUGGGGAAUAUUGCACAAUGGGCGAAAGCCUGAUGCAGCGACGCCGCGUGAGGGAUGACGGCCUUCGGGUUGUAAACCUCUUUCAGCAGGGACGAAGCGUAAGUGACGGUACCUGCAGAAGAAGCGCCGGCCGACUACGUGCCAGCAGCCGCGGUAAGACGUAGGGCGCGAGCGUUGUCCGGAUUUAUUGGGCGUAAAGAGCUCGUAGGCGGCUUGUCGCGUCGACUGUGAAAACCCGCAGCUCAACUGCGGGCCUGCAGUCGAUACGGGCAGGCUAGAGUUCGGUAGGGGAGACUGGAAUUCCUGGUGUAGCGGUGGAAUGCGCAGAUAUCAGGAGGAACACCGGUGGCGAAGGCGGGUCUCUGGGCCGAUACUGACGCUGAGGAGCGAAAGCGUGGGGAGCGAACGGGAUUAGAUACCCUGGUAGUCCACGCUGUAAACGUUGGGCGCUAGGUGUGGGGGACCUCUCCGGUUCUCUGUGCCGCAGCUAACGCAUUAAGCGCCCCGCCUGGGGAGUACGG
rnacentral:rRNA from 1 species